rnacentral:lncRNA from 1 species
GACAUGGCACUGGGUGGCAACGAUGGCAGCAGCGGUUUUUGUUGUUGUUUCCCCAGAACGCUGUGCAAUAUAUUCCGAUUUUUUUUCUUGUCAUUAAGCCAGUGCCUCGGAGAUGAUGAUGUAGUCCCUAUGUGGGCCGCAGAAAGCACUUCGAGCCGUGCUGGAGUCGUGCUGGGUGGCUCUGAUAGCAGAGCUAAUGGGAGCGAAUGGGAUGCAACGAACUGUUCUAAUGACACCAGCCAGGGAAGAGACAACAGACGAGGUUUUUCCCUGAUGUCAACAGAGUCACACUGCAGAAGAGCCAGUGCUGAUGGGGUCUGCUCCAGCCUGUGGGCACCAGCGAGGUUUGUGAUGGAAGCUAGAUGUGAGCUGGGCAGAGGCAGCACUGGUACAGUUCAUCUAAGUGUGGUUGAUAUGUGUGAGAGGUGGGCCUGGUUCCUCCCCUUGCACUCCUGCUUUAGUGUUGGUGUGGCAUGACCUAGUGGCUGGAACUCAGGACCUGCCAGAGCCAUUUGUGUAAAGGGAAGGAGAGAUGUCAUUCUGGACUCAGGGAUUUAUUGUGCUUGAAGUGGAAACCUGAACUGAGAAGCUGAAUGCAAAGCAACAAAUUUGUCCCUACUAAGUCCCAGUAUAUCUGUAUUGUCAGUGCCAUCUCACGCCCCCUUCCCAUGUAGCAGUUUGUGCAAGCGAUGAAAAGACUGUAAAAAUGUACAUCUACAAAAGUUUAUCUGCUUAUUUGUCUUCAGUAUCUUGUGCCUUCCCCUUCCUAAGUGAAAAAGACUAUGGAAAGACUAAUAGCCUCACAUCUACACAUUACAGGAUUUUAUCUCCCUUUUUAAAAAACUCCACUAAAGCCUCACACCAGCAGAACUUACUGUGCAAAGGUAAGCAAUCACCCUGCUGUCUUAAACCUACUGAAGCCUGGAUUCAACAGGCGAGAAAGUCAGGCUUUAGGGCUCCUAAUACUGGGUCAGAAAGACUGUGGCCACAUGACACAAAUGCUGAUCUGAUGUGAAGCUGAUCUGCUAAUGCAGAUCCUUUCAGGGAGUGCUGACAGGUUAACUUCUGACAGUCUCAAUGUGC